rnacentral:rRNA from 1 species
CCUACGGGUGACAGCAGUGAGGAAUAUUGGUCAAUGGGCGCGAGCCUGAACCAGCCAAGUCGCGUGAGGGAGGACGGCCCUACGGGUUGUAAACCUCUUUUGCCGGGGAGCAACGGGCGUCACGUGUGGCGCCACUGAGAGUACCCGGAGAAAAAGCAUCGGCUAACUCCGUGCCAGCAGCCGCGGUAAUACGGAGGAUGCGAGCGUUAUCCGGAUUUAUUGGGUGUAAAGGGUGCGUAGAUGGCAUAGUAAGUCUUUUGUAAAAAUGCUGGGCUCAACCCAGUAGGGCAAAAGAUACUGCAAAGCUAGAGUAUGACAGAGGCAAGUGGAACUACAUGUGUAGCGGUAAAAUGCGUAAAUAUAUGUAAGAACACCAGUGGCGAAGGCGGCUUGCUGGGUCGAUACUGACAUUGAGGCACGAAAGCGUGGGGAGCAAACAGGAUUAGAUACCCGUGUAGUC